rnacentral:rRNA from 1 species
GAUGAACGCUGGCGGCGUGCCUAACACAUGCAAGUCGAGCGUGAACCCUUAGAAUGAAACUUCGGUCGAAUGAAGAGGGGGAAAGCGGCGGACGGGUGAGUAACGCGUAGGCAACCUGCCCCGUACAGAGGGAUAGCCUCGGGAAACCGGGAUUAAAACCUCAUAAUACCAUGGUAUCACAUGAUGCAAUGGUCAAAGAUUUAUCGGUAUGGGAUGGGCCUGCGUCUGAUUAGCUGGUUGGUGGGGUAACGGCCUACCAAGGCAACGAUCAGUAGCCGACCUGAGAGGGUAAUCGGCCACAUUGGAACUGAGACACGGUCCAAACUCCUACGGGAGGCAGCAGUGGGGAAUAUUGCACAAUGGGCGAAAGCCUGAUGCAGCAACGCCGCGUGAGCGAAGAAGGCCUUUGGGUCGUAAAGCUCUGUCGGAAGGAAGAUAAUGACGGUACUUCCCGAGGAAGCCCCGGCUAACUACGUGCCAGCAGCCGCGGUAAACGUAGCGUG